GCCAGACGGCCAAUGGGCUCAGGCUCUCUGACUUUGCUGUUCCUCCUGGGGUCUUUGCCCACCCUAUGCGGAGGGUACAGCUGACACAGGAGGCAUGAAGGGCUGGGAUCCCAGAAUUAUCAGAGCAGACCAGGCCUGUGCAGUUCUCCUCUGCAAACUGCCACCGGGAGGGCUAUGAUGAACUCUGGUAGCUCCGAUGUGUCUGAGCUGUGUUCACUCAUGGGCCAGGGGAGCUAUGGAGAGGGAGUGGAGCACCAGGGGAGCCCAUCCUUGGGAGACCCCAGGGGAGCCCAUCCCUGGGAGACCUCAGGGGAACCCAUCCCUGGAAGACCUCAGGGGAGUCCAUCCCUGGGAGACCCCAGGAGCCCUCAAGCAGUGAUUUCAGAGUCAUCUCUUCUUCCCUGCAGCCUGGCUAUCCUGCCUGGAACCUCUGAGACUGUUCUGUUCCUCACACCCUCUCAGAAGCAUCUCAGCAAGCCCUGUGGGAUUCAGUGUGGGUCUCUUGAGAGUGGAAACACCCUCUACCUAUGUGUCACUGUGCCUCUCUUCCUGACACCACCCCCACUGGGAUCCACGAGAGAGGAGCAGAAGAACGGACCUCAGGCUGGGAGGUCGGGGCCGGUGUCUCUAAGGAGGGGGUGUUUUUGCCGAGGGACCUGAAGGACCAGAAGGGGUCGACCAUAUAACCGACCAUAUGGGGUUUCACAUGGAGGGAAGAAUAAGGGCGAAGUCUUGAGGUGUGGCUGUUUCUGGGCAUAAAGAGGAGACCAGUAGGGCUGUUGAGAAGUGUAGACAUCUCAGGCACGGUGAGUGAGGGCAGAGGACGCUGGAAGAGUGGGCUGGGGCCAGACCUUACAGUGCCAGGGAGUUUGCAUCUUAUUUGAAGUGCAGUGGGAAGCCAUAGGAGGCCAGGCUGCCUCCGUGUCCCCUCUGAUUCCAGGACAGUACUGCCUCCUCCCCACCUGCAGGACACCUCGAGUCUGUCCUCCUUCUGCCCCAGGGCUUUCUCCAGAACUACCGGGGUGGGGUGGGGGAAAGGUAGCAGGAAAUGAAUUCUCCUGCUGGGCCCCUUCAUCUCCUUCAACCACAGGAGAUGGAGAGUGGUGGAUAAAGCCUCCUGCUUUCCAGAUGGGGACUUCUAGGAGGCCUUCUGCACUCUGCUCAGAGGCCCUGUGCACGCAAGCCCCUAUGCCUACUAUAAUGGCCUCAGUAAUGUCCCCUUUGGGAAGCUGGGCCCUUUCUCUGUCUCCCACUUCCUGCUCUUUCACUCAUGCUUCCUGGGAUCAACUCCCAGAUCGAUUACCUGCACCCAAGUCCCUGUCUCAAGCUCUGCUUUUGGGGGACCCCCACACUAAGAUCAGUGUGGUGAUGUGAACACAGUGAGCAUAGAAUGGGUGGAUUGGGAUGGGCUGGAGGCACCCCUCCCCCUCAGCUCCCUCUCCCUGUGCCUGGGGCCCUGCACUCCUUCAUGGUCCCCUCUCCCUGGCCCCAGAACCAGUCCUGGUCAGGGACAGUCCCUGUGCUGAGGCCUGAGCAUGUCAGCCAGCUGGUAAAUCAACCCUGGCACCAUGGUGUGAGGACACCCCAGAAGCCUCGCUGUGUCUGCACCCGAUCCCCUCUGCUCCAUGGUGGCCUGGCGUCAGGCUCCCGAUGCGGGUCA
rnacentral:lncRNA from 12 species